UGAGGGUGUGUGUGUGUGUGUGUGUGUGUGUGUGUGUGUGUGCAUGUUCACGCUUCAUGCAACACCAUCUCCAGCA
rnacentral:miRNA from 1 species